rnacentral:rRNA from 1 species
GACGAACGCUGGCGGCGUGCUUAACACAUGCAAGUCGAACGAAGAGCGAUGGAAGCUUGCUUCUAUCAAUCUUAGUGGCGAACGGGUGAGUAACGCGUAAUCAACCUGCCCUUCAGAGGGGGACAACAGUUGGAAACGACUGCUAAUACCGCAUACGAUCUAAUCUCGGCAUCGAGGAUAGAUGAAAGGUGGCCUCUACAUGUAAGCUAUCACUGAAGGAGGGGAUUGCGUCUGAUUAGCUAGUUGGAGGGGUAACGGCCCACCAAGGCGAUGAUCAGUAGCCGGUCUGCGAGGAUGAACGGCCACAUUGGGACUGAGACACGGCCCAGACUCCUACGGGAGGCAGCAGUGGGGAAUCUUCCGCAAUGGACGAAAGUCUGACGGAGCAACGCCGCGUGAGUGAUGACGGCCUUCGGGUUGUAAAGCUCUGUUAAUCGGGACGAAAGGCCUUCUUGCGAACAGUUAGAAGGAUUGACGGUACCGGAAUAGAAAGCCACGGCUAACUACGUG